UGGGGAAUAUUGGACAAUGGGCGAAAGCCUGAUCCAGCAACGCCGCGUGAGGGAUGACGGCCUUCGGGUUGUAAACCUCUUUCAGCGCCGACGAAGCGAAAGUGACGGUAGGCGCAGAAGAAGCACCGGCCAACUACGUGCCAGCAGCCGCGGUAAUACGUAGGGUGCGAGCGUUGUCCGGAAUUAUUGGGCGUAAAGGGCUCGUAGGCGGUCUGUCGCGUCGGGAGUGAAAACUCAGGGCUUAACCCUGAGCCUGCUUCCGAUACGGGCAGACUAGAGGUAUGCAGGGGAGAACGGAAUUCCUGGUGUAGCGGUGAAAUGCGCAGAUAUCAGGAGGAACACCAGUGGCGAAGGCGGGUCUCUGGGCCGAUACUGACGCUGAGGAGCGAAAGCGUGGGGAGCGAA
rnacentral:rRNA from 1 species